CACUCCUGCGGGAGGCAGCAGUGGGGAAUAUUGGACAAUGGGCGCAAGCCUGAUCCAGCCAUGCCGCGUGAGUGAUGAAGGCCCUAGGGUUGUAAAGCUCUUUCACCGGUGAAGAUAAUGACGGUAACCGGAGAAGAAGCCCCGGCUAACUUCGUGCCAGCAGCCGCGGUAAUACGAAGGGGGCUAGCGUUGUUCGGAUUUACUGGGCGUAAAGCGCACGUAGGCGGACUAUUAAGUCAGGGGUGAAAUCCCGGGGCUCAACCCCGGAACUGCCUUUGAUACUGGUAGUCUUGAGUUCGAGAGAGGUGAGUGGAAUUCCGAGUGUAGAGGUGAAAUUCGUAGAUAUUCGGAGGAACACCAGUGGCGAAGGCGGCUCACUGGCUCGAUACUGACGCUGAGGUGCGAAAGCGUGGGGAGCAAACAGGAUUAGAAACCCGUGUAGUCCCAU
rnacentral:rRNA from 1 species